rnacentral:rRNA from 1 species
UUUUAGAAAUUAAUUUAAAGUCUAACCUGCCCACUGAAUAAUUUUAAAUGGCCGCAGUAUCCUAACUGUGCAAAGGUAGCAUAAUCAUUAGUCUUUUAAUUGAAGGCUGGAAUGAAUGGUUGGAUGAAAUAUUAACUGUUUCAUAAAAAUUUAUAAUAGAAUUUUAUUUUUUAGUCAAAAAGCUAAAAUAUAAUUAAAAGACGAGAAGACCCUAUAAAUCUUUAUAUUUAAAUAAUUUUAAUUAUUUAGAUAAAUUAAAUUAUAAUUAUUUUAAAUAUUUUAUUGGGGUGAUAUUAAAAUUUAAUAAACUUUUAAUUUGUUAUAAACAUAAAUUAAUGAAUUGUUGAUCCAUUUAUUAUGAUUAAAAAAUUAAGUUACUUUAGGGAUAACAGCGUAAUUUUUUUAGAGAGUUCAUAUUGAUAAAAA